rnacentral:rRNA from 1 species
UGCCCAGACUCCUACGGGAGGCAGCAGUGGGGAAUAUUGCACAAUGGGGGAAACCCUGAUGCAGCGACGCCGCGUGAGUGAAGAAGUAUUUCGGUAUGUAAAGCUCUAUCAGCAGGGAAGAAAAUGACGGUACCUGACUAAGAAGCCCCGGCUAACUACGUGCCAGCAGCCGCGGUAAUACGUAGGGGGCAAGCGUUAUCCGGAUUUACUGGGUGUAAAGGGAGCGUAGACGGCAUGGCAAGUCAGAUGUGAAAGCCCGGGGCUCAACCCCGGGACUGCAUUUGAAACUGUCAGGCUGGAGUGCAGGAGAGGUAAGUGGAAUUCCUAGUGUAGCGGUGAAAUGCGUAGAUAUUAGGAGGAACACCGGUGGCGAAGGCGGCCUGCUGGACUGCGACUGACGUUGAGGCCCGAAAGCGUGGGGAGCAAACAGGAUUAGAUACCCGGGUA